CGGAGUUGAAAGCCUUUACAUCGUGUCAAAAGCCAAUCAAAAAUCAUAUGUUACUUCACGUGAGUCUAAGUAAUGAUUCACCAGUGCUUGACAUUUACAAGGCAUUAAAUAAAAUAAAAUUGAGUGUUGGAAUUUCUUAUAAUUCUCCUAAAAUUGUCUGUGUAUGAUUAUUUGUCAGUAAGAAUAAAUUACAUACACUUUUCUAGGAACAUCAAGUAAUAAUAUCCCUUCAAAGUUGUGUUUGGUAUUUUCACAAGGAGACGGUUGCUACAGUAUGAUAAUAUGUCCUCUUUUUUUCAAAUGACGAGGACAAUAUUGCAUAGUACCUUUGACGAAGGAUCAAAAUCUGCCUUUAACACAUUUGCGUUGAUAAAAUUGUGCUUUCCUUUCUAUCAAGAAAUUAAGCGUAUUCCUUUUCCUUCUUUAUGUCGGGUGUCUAUACUGAAGUUUAAAUAAAAGCAACAUUAG
rnacentral:lncRNA from 1 species